rnacentral:tRNA from 1 species
UCAAGCCGUGCAACAUUGCAGAGCAACUGACUCUUAAUCAGUGGGUUCUGGGUUCAAGUCCCAGGGGGUGCACGA